UUAAAAUUGAGAGUUUGAUCCUGGCUCAGGACGAACGCUGGCGGCGUGCUUAACACAUGCAAGUCGAGCGAUGAAGCUUCCUUCGGGAAGUGGAUUAGCGGCGGACGGGUGAGUAACACGUGGGUAACCUGCCUCAAAGUGGGGGAUAGCCUUCCGAAAGG
rnacentral:rRNA from 1 species